rfam:Triticum aestivum genome assembly, contig: Triticum_aestivum_CS42_TGACv1_scaffold_249161_3DL
UGCCGGGGACGGCCUCAGCAACCCCGGCAAGACCCUUGCCGGGGACGGCCUCA